rnacentral:rRNA from 1 species
AUUGAACGCUGGCGGCAUGCCUUACACAUGCAAGUCGAACGGCAGCACGGGAGCAAUCCUGGUGGCGAGUGGCGAACGGGUGAGUAAUAUAUCGGAACGUGCCCGGUCGUGGGGAUAACGUAGCGAAAGCUACGCUAAUACCGCAUACGAUCUACGGAUGAAAGCGGGGGAUCGCAAGACCUCGCGCGAUUGGAGCGGCCGAUAUCAGAUUAGGUAGUUGGUGAGGUAAAGGCUCACCAAGCCGACGAUCUGUAGCUGGUCUGAGAGGACGACCAGCCACACUGGGACUGAGACACGGCCCAGACUCCUACGGGAGCAGCAGUAGGGAAUCUUCCACAAUGGACGAAAGUCUGAUGGAGCAACGCCGCGUGAGUGAAGAAGGUUUCGGAUCGUAAACUCUGUUGUUGGAGAAGAAUGUAUCUGAUAGUAACUGAUCA